UUAAACGUAAAUACUUUAGAGUAAAAAAAAUCUUUGUAAAGUGCCAGUGUUCAUGAAAAAAGUUGUGGAAAUGGAUAAGAAAUAAUAAUAAUAAUAAUAAACCACUUUGCUACACUUUGUCUAUUUAAUUAUAGAACACAAGGUCAUUCAUUUUGAUGAAAAGGUGUAUGGAAAAUAUUGGAAUGGCUCAUAUCUUCAGGGGAAGAAACUGACAGAAAUCGAACACAGAGAUGGAGUGACAGUGCUAAUCGAGCAGAUGAUCUACCUACAAAUCCAAGCGUCAGAAAUGAUUCCGAUUAUGGAUUUUCUGUACAAGAAACAGAUCCGAAAAAUCCAAAGCGUUGUCGAGAAAUUGCAGGCUUUCCAGAAUCGAAAUCUACGAAUAGAAAGAGGAUAAGAUAUAUGCUAGGAAGAACUAGAAAGUUAUCUGAGGGAGCAGAAGGCAGAGAAGGAUAAAUGUGAAAGAGGAAGAGCACCAGGUUGUCUUAGCCACUAAAUUGAUUACUUAGAAGAGUGUUGAAAAUAAAAGUGUUAUGAAAAUUGGAUUUUGGCAAAGACACAGUUUCAAUUUACUGGAUAUAGGACUCUGUUUUAAUGAAACAGGUGAACGUGAAUUGAUUUACAUUAGAGUGAACUUAGAUUAACUGUUUAAUAUUGUUUAACAAAAUGCAUAAUUUCUCCGAGCUGUAAAACUGGUUGCUAUCAAAACACUUGUUAAUAAACCCUUAUUCAAUGCUAUGUUAGGUUCAUUCUUUUUUAUAUAUGUCUUUAUAUGAAAAGUUUUAGGAUGUGACAUUUAGUCGUUUUAAAGUGCUUAAAAUGCCUUUGUCUAUAUUUUUCAAGAACUUUCUGCUAGCUAUCGCAUAUUAGAAUCUAUAAAAGGAUCUUUUCGAAGCAUAGAAUGCAACCAAGCAAACUGCUGUUUGAUUGAGUCAGUUUAUGAGAGGUUAUGGAAAGUACAACACACAUGACACCCCUAGCACAGACUUAAGCGAGACUCUUUUGACUUAAAUCGAACUUAUUUAAAGUUGCUGUGCAGGAUGGACAUCUUACUGUAAUUAUCUUGUAUGACAUGUUUGGCUUAUGAAGUAUUUUGUUUGUUUUAAAUGGUAUGAUUCUUUUGCUGUCUUCAGCAAUGGGGGUUAAGUUGUAAAUGUUGUUAAUAAUGCUCACCCUGGUAUGGUAAUAGGAUCAUGAGGCGUCAUCCAUCCGUUUGUCUCUCGAGAUAACUGUGCGAUAGAAUUCAAUCAAUUGUGGCUUAAAGCAUUCUAUAGUCUCGAGAGGAUAGGAUCCAGAUUGGACAAAACAUUGUCUUUUCAUCUCAUUUUCCAGGCGGCUGGGUCCCAACGUUGCACAUAACAUCAUUUUAAGACUCCGUAACAUGCGGGUGAAUUUAAUUUGAAUCUGACGUCAACCUUGAGUAUUAGGACUUCUAAAUUGUACAUAUUUAGAUCACUGCUCCCCUAUUGAUGGUACUCAACAUAAUUUUGUUGCAAGAAACCUUAAAUUGUAGGAAUUUCAGUUUUACAAUUUGUGGUACUAGCCCAUGUAGGGUUCAUAGGACAGGGUCCCUUAACAGUAUUCAAAAGAUUUUUUAGACAAGAAUAUGAUGCUUAAUUCAUGUUUUUCACGAAAACAUAUAUAACAAAGUUACUUCCUAUAUUUGCUAUUCGUAAUGAAAGGUAGUCAUUUUGCAGAAAGUUUGCUAGUAUACUAAAUUGAAUCACUGUUUAUUGUCUCCAUCUCAUGCAUAGAUAACAAACAAUUGAUAAAGUGUGUCUAACUAUAGAUGUAUAAUAAAAAAAUCUUAUUUUAUCAACAUGUCCAUUGAUAUUUACAAACGUAUUUUAGCAGUAUUCAAAUGAAGUAUAUCUCAAGUUGAAGUAACUUAAUACAAUCUAUUACAGGUUUGUCUCCUCGUGAUAGGUAAUGAAACAUGCAACAUAAAAAAUCCAUGUCAGCGGCUUAAGUGGCAAUUUUAUUAUACACAUACACUGAAUAUAUUCAAUCAUGAAAAUAUUACAACUUAGGCUACAAAUAAAAUCUUAAAUGAAUGAAUAAAUAAUGCAAUAAUUUUCAACACUUUGUUGUAAUGUUUUCAUAGCUACCCUCGCCCGGAGGCUAAUGAUAGUUUCUGGUCGGAAUGCUUUUAAAGGUUUAACUUUUGAAUAACAAUAUCAGAUAUUUAAUACUACAAAUUAAUUCUUUAGUGGCGGAGUAAAUGUAUAGCUAUUAAGUUUAAAUAGCCAUCUAUUUUGUGGGCGAAUUUGGUUGUGAUGAAUGUACAUUUUGUUUGACACUGAAGUUGUUGAUUGCAGAUUGAAAAUGUUAAUAUAUAUGACGUAUUCUAUGUCUUUUUUAUUUUUGUGUACAUGUAUUUAAUUGUACGUUUUCAAUAUCUUGCAUUCAAUUUAGUUGGUGGUGGUUUUGCAAAUUAAAUGUUAUUGACAACAUGUUUUAGUAUGUCUUUUGUAAUACAAGCUUCUCACUCAUAACGGACAUUUUAUAAAAACAUAAAUUAACAUAUGUCUUAAAUUAUCUUGUCAUUUAGAGCCAAAUAUACGAGUUAUUGCCCACUUCUGUUUGACGAUAAAUUCAAGCAGUGAAUCUAGUGGCAAAUAACUUAAUUUGAUUUAGACAGAGUUGUGUGUCUGGAAUUUCAUACAAUAUAAACACAGUUUGAGGAGAAGGAAAUACAUAUCGAAUUUGUAUACAUUAUACAUCGAUAUUAUUUUCAUAUUUGACCUAAACAAGUUUUUCUACAAACAUAUAAAAGCUUUGCAGGUGCAAGAAUAUUACUGCAAUAGACUUAUCAAACACUUCUUUUGCCUCUGGAUUGUUCAAAUUAUAUUGAGGUAAUAACUUUUUGAAACACUUAGAAUGAUAAAGACAUAGAAGGAAAUUAUAACCAUAGCAUUCAUUCUCUUUUUUUUUUAACUAGGAGAACUCUGUGAAAAAAAUACGCCAGAAACUGUUCACAAAUAUAUUUGGUCCAAACACAAAAUGUUGUCAGGGUUGAAAAUGUCACUGUUAACUAAAUAGAAAAAGUGGAAUGCCACAGGUCGCGACAUAAAUGAAAAUGUUGCAUGCUCGGUUUUCCGUAAUCUAAGAUCCCUUUUCUAAAUUGUUCUGCCCAUUGUUUUUUCUUUUAGGGCAAGCCCAUUAUUUUAACUUGGUUUUCAUUGGAUUGCACACUAGCGUAUCAUUGAAUGUUCCAUGUGCACUGCCGUAUGAACACAUCUGCGGAUGUCUCUAAAUUGUUUUUGUUACUUUUAACAUGUGUAAAUGUUGAGUUCUGUUCAACCCGGGGCUAGAGGGCGUAGACGGUAGCAUGAAUUUCUACUAUCGUCCAUGCACAGGCUCAAUGGAAACAGAGCCUGCAACAUUUUCAUUUUGUCGUGUUGAGCGACCUGUAAAAUUUCCACUAUUUCUAUUGAACUCUUUCUACAUAAUUGUAAUCGACUGAAAAUGCUUCAGCACUGAUCAAGAAUUGAACCCGCGACCUCUCGCACAUAAGGCGGGCACUUUAUCGGGUUGUUAUAAAAGUCAGCUGAUAUAGCAAUGUUGUGUAAGUGUACCACUUGUUGUAAUAAUUUUCCUAUCAGAAAUAAAGGUGCUUCUAAACGUUUAACCUUUAAAUAAAAAUAUCAGAUAUUUGAUAUUACGAAAUAAUGCUUUAGUCGCGGAGAAAAAAUAUAGCUAUUAAUUUUAAAUAACCAUUUAUUUUGUGAGCGACCUUCUUUGUGAUGAAUGUAUAUUUUGUUUGACAUGGAAUGUACUUUACUUUUAAAUGGUGGUUGCAGAUUGAAAGUGUUAAUGUAUAUGACGCAUUUUAUCUCUUUUUAAUUUUUGUGUAUAUGUAUUUAAUUGUAUGUUUUCAAUAUCUUGCAUUAGAUGGUGAUGGUUUUAUAUUAGUAUUAUAAAUGUUAUUGACAGCAUA